ensembl:lncRNA
GGUGCAACAACAGUGUCUAAAGAAGAACUCAGUGACAGGACCAGUCAUUGAGUCUGGUGUAGAGUUCAUGCUCCAUCUCAGCUUGAUGGAAUUGAUGGGAGAAGGCCAAACUUACAGAGACAUUGAAGUCUGAAGACGUUUGUAUGAAAUAAAUAAAUAAAAAUGUAUGAGUUUGGUUUCCGUUUCCCCUGUUCGUUACUCAUUCUAGCACAGUAAUCACCACAUGCCAUCUGCCCCCUAUUCCUCACCUGUAAGAUUUAGAACUCCUUGCAGACAUCCUGAAUUUAGGGAGGCCAGGCAACAUAGUAUAGACUUUGAAGUAGAAACUGUUUCAAGGCUGGCAUUUUCUUUUUAAAUCCCAUGACAUUUCCUCAAUGCUCCUGAAUGGGAGAAUGAGAGUGACACAGAGAGGGGGCAACCAAAUAAACCCUUCCAAGGAGCUGAAGCCACUAAUCUGUAAUUUAAUUUCAAGCGGGUGUCUGGGCCAUGAGGACACAUGGCAAGGUCAAGGGCUACUGUACAGAGAGCGAGAGAGAGAUGUGGAUUUGGAAGCACAGCCUUCGGUUUGAUCAACAGCUUCAUCCAGCUUAGAAGGAGUAGUGAUGGGUUGGGGGGGGGGGUAACCCUUCCUUUCCUACCUCUCAGAGACAGCCAGCCUGUCUGUUCCACCAGCCCAACCGCAGCCACUUAUUUCACACACGGCAGUAGCAAAUACUCCUGGAGGAAAUUCAUUAUUCAAACAACUAAGAUGUUUGGGAUGAAUAAGCAUCUGCAAGUCCCUAAGAACGUGAGAGCGUAACUGGCAAUUGAACACGUCCGGCUAGAUCCACAUGUAAAUGAAAGAUUUGUAUUACUUUUCACCAUUAUUCUUGUUUUCCUCAUUAUGUAGAGGAGUGUAAGUCUGCAGAUAAAUCAGCUCUAAUGGAGAAGUGGAGGUAUGAAUUGUGAGCAGUGUGGCUAAUCCCAUGGGUAAGGAGAUAUGUGUAAUAGGGUGGACCUUGUUCUCCAUGAACACACAUGCAGUGGCCCUGGAAAUGGACGCAAUAAUUACCAGUGACCACUCGGGAACAUUUUCACCAUGUCUCUUUAAUGCGAAUCGGCACUGGGUUCUUUUAUGGACGGCUUUGGCAUUCAUACGCACAUUGACAUUUGGCACAAGGACCUGCUCGAGUACCUGUAUACUGUAACAGAACUUAUACAAUCACCCACCCACCCUCCAUCUUGAAUUCAUAAAACAUUCCACCUUGGCAGUCAAGAGUAGCUGAGAAGAGCCCAUGUUCAUUAAAAACCUUACAUAUAAGGCUGCUGUCAGGUCACUGAGAGAACCAGGGUGUAUCCCAUGCACCAUUUGCAGUUUGUUCGAGCUUAGCUGGCAUUCAAUUUCAAUUCCCUCAAGUUAUUGAAUAUACGAGAACGGUAGACACUGACAGGUACAAGUUACUCCACGGGCAACCAUUAAUUAGUGAGUCGAGGAGUAAAUGGAGAGUUACACAGCUACACUCUGUCUCUGGCAGGUAGGCAGCUAGGGAGACGCUGAUGGCAGCCUCAGCUUGGUCAUCUCUUAAACUGUUCACUUCCUAUUAGAAAUGAGAUUCUGGGCCUCUCAAACUUCCUACCUCGAUACAUAGUGAAGAGAAAAUGUUGUCCAGGUUCGAGACAGGGAGCCUGUCAAAUCCAAUGGCCUUCAAGUGGAGCUUCUCUUUAGCCUAUUGCAUAGAAAUGAAUACGACUCCACACCCGCGUUCAUAUACUUUGUUAAUUGAAGGAGUAGCAGGGGAAGGGAAAUGUAGAGUGCUGUAAUAGGAUAUGAUGGGUUUAUGUCUUUUUGGAAGCCCAGGAGGAAGUGGUCCUGUAGGGAUGGGUAUGAUGGACUCAUUGUCAGCUCAGUAAGGACUGGAAACUGUGUGGGUAGGAGCCAGUGGAACCAGUCUCUCCGUUGAUGGAUAGGUGUAGUGGGAUUAAAUAUAAGACUCAUCGCUGUCUCACCGUCUGCCUCCUCACUGCUGAAAAAAAAAAUAUAUUGUGUUAGAGAGAGGGAGGUUGUCAGACCAAAACCUUAUAGUGAUUUGUGCUGUGGAGAAAAAACAUUACAGAGACACUUUCUUAUUCCAACAGGACAAUAUUACAGUUUGUUCCUUUUGAUGACUGCAACAUCCCAGUCUUUAUCCACUUUAUCUGUUUUCCAUACUACAGGUAACUCUUCUAAACUUUUAAUGUAGUUUACCCACUCCGGUCCCAAUAGACCCCUCCACACCACUGCUAAUGCUACCACAGCAAAUUAAACUGCUCUCCCUGAAUCAUUAAACUGGUUCGAGAAUUAGCUCAGACACACAGGGUUUAUAAUGGGGCGGCAGGUAGCCUAGUGGUUAGAGCGUUGGGCCAGUAACCGAAAGGUUGCUAGAUUGAAACCCCGAGCUGACAAGGUAAAAAUCUGUC